GACAUAGGUGGCGAACGUUAUCCGGAAUUAUUGGGCGUAAAGGGUGCGUAGACGGUCUAGUAAGUUAGCAGCGGGAAAUCGAGGCCCAACCUCGUGGAAGUUGUUAAUACUACUAUACUCGAGUGCAGGAGAGGUUAAUGGAACUCAAUGUGGAGCGGUAAAAUGCGUAGAUAUAUUGAAGAACACCAAUAACGGCGAAGGCAGUUAACUAUUCUGUUACUGACGUUGAGGCACGAAAGCGUGGGGAGCAAAAAGG
rnacentral:rRNA from 1 species